rnacentral:rRNA from 1 species
GAUGAACGCUAGCUACAGGCUUAACACAUGCAAGUCGAGGGGAAACGACAUCGAAAGCUUGCUUUUGAUGGGCGUCGACCGGCGCACGGGUGAGUAACGCGUAUCCAACCUGCCCACCACUUGGGGAUAACCUUGCGAAAGUAAGACUAAUACCCAAUGAUAUCUCUAGAAGACAUCUGAAAGAGAUUAAAGAUUUAUCGGUGAUGGAUGGGGAUGCGUCUGAUUAGCUUGUUGGCGGGGUAACGGCCCACCAAGGCAACGAUCAGUAGGGGUUCUGAGAGGAAGGUCCCCCACAUUGGAACUGCGACCCGGUCCAAACUCCUACGGGAGGCAGCAGUGAGGAAUAUUGGUCAAUGGACGAGAGUCUGAACCAGCCAAGUAGCGUGCAGGAAGCCGGCCCUAUGGGUUGUAAACUGCUUUUAUAAGGGAAUAAAGUGAGUCUCGUGAGACUUUUUGCAUGUACCUUAUGAAUAAGGACCGGCUAAUUCCGUG